UCAGACCUCCUCCCCCUCCUCCCGGAGUCCACGUGGCAAGGAGGAGGGGGAAAAAACGAAGCAGCAUGAGGAGAGACAAAGAUUUACCGAAGGGGCGGAAGGUCGACGGCUCCUAACACAAAUGACUUGAGCGUUCAAUAGCAGCGAAGAUGAGGCGGUUCCGUUGGCUUCAUCGAGCCGUGACCUCCGACUCUCAUUGGAGCGGUUCGCAGCCGAGUGCGAAGCGGCCGGGAUGAGAAUCAGCACCUCCGAAUCUGAGACCGUGGUCCUCCAUAAUAAUGCGGCAGCAAGUGGAAGCGGGAUCAACCACCGCGUGGCAGAUGGGAAAGCGUCGGAAGUUGGGCGACAUAACCACAGCGUGGCAGAGAGCCAGCCGACGAGAAGGAGCUACACAGCUAGUGGGCACAAAAUGGGAGUAGUGGUGCCAGCCGGGAACAGUUUACCGGCUCGAGACAGGAGACUCCUUCUAGUCAUCGUACUGCUGACGAAGCAUUUGUCAUGAAACUCUGCGACGAAGAUUUGAGUUGGACUGAAAAAGGCGUACACAUCUUCCAAAGGGCCGCUUCUUGUGUCGGUAAGAUUAUCCCAGCCUCGGUCGCUCCCGUCGCUGCGUCAUUCGUGUUGAGCGAGGUGUCGCUUUCCAGCCGCGACCUUUAUGAGGUGCCUGUGUUCAAGAACGUUAAGUACCUUGACGCUAGAAACGCACCACACGCGUGAAGCCUACUUCCAAAUGCAGACAUCUUUCAUCUUGAAAGCUCUGAACUCGAAACAUUGACCAUCCAUCUACGCUCUCGCUCUCGCUCUCAUGAAUCUAUCAUUUGCUCACGUGCGGCCACUCAUUCAAUCUUGGUGGAAUAAUAGUAACACAAUUUAUUGCAACACGAAAUUCUUGAUUUUCUAUUGCUCAUCGGUUUAGCACAAUGGCCCGAAGGUCAUAUAGCCCGACCAACCUUUCGAUACUAUCAUUAUUUCCUCGAAAUCCCGCCAUUGCUUGUCUAUGCGGUUUGCUUACUCGUGUCUGUUUUGCAAAGGCAAUGUCUGCCUCGAAGCCAUCACAUACCACAGUCCAACUUCAACCAUCCCUUUAGAACAUUGGCUUGGGGAACAAUGAGUGAAAACGGGCAACACAUUAGAAAACCGGAUGGAAACUUUUCGUUUGCGUGCCAAAACAAAACCCCAAAACAACUGUUAACACUGUACUGUGAGAAGCAGUAAGUUCCGGUAUUUACUAUUUUGCAAUGUUAUCCCUGAACAAAGUUUGAAAA